rnacentral:rRNA from 1 species
UACGAAGGGGGCUAGCGUUGCUCGGAAUCACUGGGCGUAAAGCGCACGUAGGCGGACUCUUAAGUCAGGGGUGAAAUCCUGGAGCUCAACUCCAGAACUGCCUUUGAUACUGGGAGUCUUGAGUCCGGAAGAGGUAAGUGGAACUGCGAGUGUAGAGGUGAAAUUCGUAGAUAUUCGCAAGAACACCAGUGGCGAAGGCGGCUUACUGGUCCGGAACUGACGCUGAGGUGCGAAAGCGUGGGGAGCAAACAGG